rnacentral:misc_RNA from 1 species
GUUAUUGUGUAAGCAACAUUGUAACUUGUUAGUCUCAGUUGAAGCAUGGCUGCCACUCGAGUGUCUCACCUGCAAAAAUUGGAACAAUAUCCCCAAAGGGAAAUGAAAAAGACUUUGGAACCUGCCAUGGAGCCUUUUGCAAUGUAAUUUUUGAGGUGUUUCUGGGGAGCCCAUAGAAGUCUGGUCCAUUGAAACUUGUAAAUGCUUCUAAUUUAU